GGGGGUAUAGCUCAACUGGUAGAGCAACGGUCUCCAAAACCGUAGGCUAAGUGUUCAAUUCGCUUUGCCCCUGCCA
rnacentral:tRNA from 1 species